UCAGAGGCCUAGUCGGGCAGAGGCACUAGGCGGCUAAGGACCGCAAACUCAAGGCUCGAGCAGCUAAGGACCAGACUGUGAGCUCGAGGCUCAAGCGGUUGGCGAAGCGGACCACGAGCUAGGCGCUCAAGUGGCUGACGUGUGCGUCACUCCCCUUCCACGUCACCGGUGGCCAGUUGGGCGUGGGGCAAGGAGUGUUC
rnacentral:lncRNA from 1 species